AAUACAGCUCUCAUGUUGGAAGUGCAGAGAGCUGGAAACGCUCCGGCGCCAGAGGAUGUGACUGCGGCCGAUUAGGUAGACGGUGGGGUAAUGGCCCACCGUGCCGAUAAUCGGUACGGGUUGUGAGAGCAAGAACCCGGAGACGGUAUCUGAGACAAGAUACCGGGCCCUACGGGGCGCAGCAGGCGCGAAACCUUUACACUGCACGACAGUGCGAUAGGGGGACUCCGAGUGCGAGGGCAUAUAGUCCUCGCUUUUCUGUACCGUAAGGUGGUACAGGAACAAGUGCUGGGCAAGACCGGUGCCAGCCGCCGCGGUAAUACCGGCAGCACGAGUGAUGGCCGCUGUUAUUGGGCCUAAAGCGUUCGUAGCCGGCCACUCAAGUCCGUCGGGAAACCUGCCCGCUUAACGGGCAGGCGUCCGGCGGAAACUGAGUGGCUUGGGGCCGGGAGAUCCAAGGGGUACGUCCGGGGUAGGAGUGAAAUCCCGUAAUCCUGGACGGACCACCGAUGGCGAAAGCACCUUGGAAAAACGGACCCGACGGUGAGGAACGAAAGCUGGGGUCUCGAACCGGAUUAGAUACCCGGGUAGUCCCAGCCGUAAACGAUGCUCGCUAGGUGUGGCGCAGGCUACGAGCCUG
rnacentral:rRNA from 1 species